GUACAAAAGGAAGUUGACGGGGCCCGCACAAGCGGUGGAGCAUGUGGUUUAAUUCGAAGCAACGCGAAGAACCUUACCAGGUCUUGACAUCCGAUGCUAUUUCUAGAGAUAGAAGUUACUUCGGUACAUCGGUGACAGGUGGUGCAUGGUUGUCGUCAGCUCGUGUCGUGAGAUGUUGGGUUAAGUCCCGCAACGAGCGCAACCCUUGUCAUUAGUUGCCAUCAUUUGGUUGGGCACUCUAAUGAGACUGCCGGUGACAAACCGGAGGAAGGUGGGGAUGACGUCAAGUCCUCAUGGCCCUUAUAGGUGGGGCUACACACGUCAUACAAUGGAUGGUACAAAGGGUCGCCAACCCGCGAGGGGGAGCCAAUCCCAUAAAGCCAUUCGUAGUCCGGAUCGCAGUCUGCAACUCGACUGCGUGAAGUCGGAAUCGCUAGUAAUCGUGGAUCAGAAUGUCACGGUGAAUACGUUCCCGGGUCUU
rnacentral:rRNA from 1 species